AGCGAACGUUUGCGGCGGGCUUAACACAUGCAAGUCGAACGAGAAUCCCUUCGGGGAGGAAAGUGGCGCACGGGUGCGUAACACGUGGAUAACCAACCCAUUGGUUUGGGACAACACCGGGAAACUGGUGCUAAUACCAGAUGUGUCGCAGCUGUCUUCAGGCGGUUGCGAGAAAGGCCCGCAAGGGUCGCCAACGGACGGGUCCGCGUCCCAUCAGCUAGUUGGUGAGGUAAUGGCUCACCAAGGCAAAGACGGGUAGCUGGUCUGAGAGGAUGAUCAGCCACACUGGAACUGAGACACGGUCCAGACUCCUACGGGAGGCAGCAGUGGGGAAUAUUGCGCAAUGGGCGAAAGGCCUGACGCAGCCACGCCGCGUGAGCGAUGAAGGUCUUCGGAUCGUAAAGCUCUGUGGGGGGAGAAGAAGAAAGCCGGUGAAGAGCCGGCCCUGACGGUAUCCCCUUAGCAAGCACCGGCUAACUCCGUGCCAGCAGCCGCGGUAAAGU
rnacentral:rRNA from 1 species